CAGGACGAACGCGGGCGGCGUGCUUAACACAUGCAAGUCGCACGGGACCCGCAAGGGUUCAGUGGCGGACGGGUGCGUAACACGUGAGGAACAUAUCCAUUGGUGGGGGAUAGCCGGCCCAACGGCCGGGUAAUACCGCGUAAGACCCUUGGGGCGCAUGCUCUGGGGGUGAAAGCAGCAAUGCGCCGAUGGAGUGCCUCGCGACCUAUCAGCUAGUUGGUGAGGUAACGGCUCACCAAGGCUACGACGGGUAGCUGGUCUGAGAGGAUGGCCAGCCACAUUGGGACUGAGACACGGCCCAGACUCCUACGGGAGGCAGCAGUGGGGAAUAUUGCGCAAUGGCCGAAAGGCUGACGCAGCGACGCCGCGUGUGGGAUGACGGUCUUCGGAUUGUAAACCACUGUCGGGAGGGACGAAUGCGCCGCAAGGCGAGUGACGGUACCUCCAAAGGAAGCACCGGCUAACUCCGUGCCAGCAGCCGCGGUAAUACGGAGGGUGCGAGCGUUGUCCGGAAUCACUGGGCGUAAAGGGCGCGUAGGCGCCGGAUAAGUAGGGGGUGAAAUCGUGCGGCUCAACUGCACGGCUGCCUUCUAGACUGUUCGGCUGGAGCACGGUAGAGGCAGAUGGAAUUCCCGGUGUAGCGGUGGAAUGCGUAGAGAUCGGGAAGAACAUCGGUGGCGAAGGCGGUCUGCUGGGCCGUUGCUGACGCUGAGGCGCGACAGCGUGGGGAGCAAACAGGAUUAGAUACCCUGGUAGUCCACGCCGUAAACGAUGGGUACUAGGCGUCGGGGGGAGCGACCCUCUCGGUGCCGUCGCUAACGCAGUAAGUACCCCGCCUGGGGAGUACGGCCGCAAGGCUGAAACUC
rnacentral:rRNA from 1 species